rnacentral:rRNA from 1 species
AAUGAACGCUGGCGGCAGGCCUAACACAUGCAAGUCGAGCGAGCAUUUCGGUGCUAGCGGCGGACGGGUGCGUAACGCGUGGGAACGUGCCCUUUUCUGCGGAAUAGUCCUGGGAAACUGGGGGUAAUACCGCAUACGCCCUUUUGGGGAAAGAUUUAUCGGAGAAGGAUCGGCCCGCGUUGGAUUAGGUAGUUGGUGGGGUAAUGGCCCACCAAGCCGACGAUCCAUAGCUGGUUUGAGAGGAUGAUCAGCCACACUGGGACUGAGACACGGCCCAGACUCCUACGGGAGGCAGCAGUGGGGAAUCUUAGACAAUGGGGGCAACCCUGAUCUAGCCAUGCCGCGUGAGUGAUGAAGGCCUUAGGGUUGUAAAGCUCUUUCAGCUGGGAAGAUAAUGACGGUACCAGCAGAAGAAGCCCCGGCUAACUCCGUG